rnacentral:rRNA from 1 species
UACAUGGGGUGCAAACGUUGCUCGGAAUUAUUGGGCGUAAAGCGCACGUAGGCGGUCCGUUAAGUCGGAUGUGAAAGCCCCCGGCUCAACCGGGGAAGUGCAUCCGAAACUGGCGGGCUAGAGUACGAAAGAGGGUCGCGGAAUUCCCGGUGUAGAGGUGAAAUUCGUAGAUAUCGGGAGGAACACCGGUGGCGAAGGCGGCGACCUGGGUCGAUACUGACGCUGAGGUGCGAAAGCGUGGGGAGCAAAC